rnacentral:rRNA from 1 species
UCAAGCUAAUAAGAGCAAAGGGUGAAUGCCUUGGCAUCAAGAACCGAAGAAGGACGUAGAAAGCUGCGAAAAGCCACGAGGAGACGCACACAGUCAGAGAAUCGUGGAUAUCCGAAUGGGGGAACCUAGCAGAGUAAAGCUCUGUUACUAUAUACUGAAUAAAUAGGUAUAUAGGGGGAACGUUGUGAACUGAAACAUCUAAGUAGCAACAGGAAGAGAAAGAAAAAUCGAUUUCCUAAGUAGCGGCGAGCGAAAGGGAAAAAGGCCAAACCAAUGAGCGUGCUUAUUGGGGUUGAGGACUGCAGAAUCCAUUGACAAAGGAUAGUCGAAUUGUUUUGGGAAAGCAAACCAAAGAAGGUGAAAGUCCAGUAGACGAAAUCUAGAGUCAGGAGGCAGGAUCCAGAGUACCACGGGACACGAGAAACCCUGUGGGAAGCCGGGGGGACCACCCCCCAAGCCUAAAUAUUCCUUGAUGACCGAUAGUGAAUAAGUACUGUGAAGGAAAGGUGAAAAGAACCCCGGGAGGGGAGUGAAAAAGAACCUGAAACCCUUUGUUUACAAACAGUGGGAGUUACGUUAGUAACGACUGCGUACUUUUUGUAGAACGGUCCGGCGAGUUACAUUUGCAAGCGAGGUUAAUUAGUAAGAAGCUAAGAAGCCGAAGGGAAACCAAGUCUGAAAAGGGCGACAAGUUUGUAGGUGUAGACCCGAAACCGGGUGACCUAUCCAUGAGCAGGUUGAAGUUACCGUAAAAGGUAAUGGAGGACCGAACUCGUAUCUGUUGAAAAAGGUUGAGAUGACUUGUGGAUAGCGGAGAAAUUCCAAUCGAACCCGGAGAUAGCUGGUUCUCCUCGAAAUAGCUUUAGGGCUAGCCUUGUGUUAAUCUACUGGAGGUAAAGCACUGAAUUGGUGCGGGGCCUUCGCGGGUUACCAAAUCAUAUCAAACUAAGAAUGCCAGAUAGAUGAUGCACAGGAGUCAGACUAUGUGAGAUAAGUUUCAUAGUCAAAAGGGAAAGAGCCCAGACCGACAGCUAAGGUCCCAAAGUGUGUGUUAAGUGGAAAAGGAUGUGAGAAUUCGAAGACAACUAGGAUGUUGGCUUAGAAGCAGCCACGCAUUUAAAGAGUGCGUAACAGCUCACUAGUCGAGAGUUUUUGCGCCGAAAAUGUCCGGGGCUAAAACACACCACCGAAGCUACGGAAUUGUGCGUAAGUGCAAUUGGUAGAGGAGCAAUCUGCAAGGAAGAAGCCUAACUGAGAGGGAAGGUGGACGAAGCAGAAGAGAGAAUGCCGGAAUGAGUAGCGAGAUAUAUGUGAGAAUCAUAUAGGUCGAAUGUCUAAGGUUUCCAGAGUAAAGCUGAUCUGCUCUGGGUAAGUCGGGACCUAAGGCGAGGUCGAAAGACGUAGUCGAUGGACAACUGGUUUAAAUUCCAGUACUACUAAUAAUCAGAACUGUGGGGACACAGGAGGAUAGGAAAACCGAGGAAAGGAAAUACUCGGCUAAGCACAAAGCUGUGUGUAUGAUGAAAAACACAUACAUGAAGGUGAAGUGUGAUAGGGAGUGAAGAGAAGUAGCGAAGUUUCUGAAUCCACACUGUCAAGAAAAGCCGCUAUAGAGUUAUUAGUACCCGUACCGCAAACCGACACAGGUAGACGAGGAGAAAAUCCAAAGACCGACGGGAGAAGUGUUGUUAAGGAACUCGGCAAAAUGACCCCGUAACUUAGGGAGAAGGGGAACCAACGAGAGUUGGUCACAGAGAAGAGGCUCAAGCGACUGUUUAGCAAAAACACAGGUCUCUGCGAAACCGAAAGGUGAAGUAUAGGGGCUGACACCUGCCCGGUGCUGGAAGGUCAAAAGGAGAGGUUAGGGAAAGCCCGAAGCUUUGAAUUCAAGCCCCAGUAAACGGCGGCCGUAACUAUAACGGUCCUAAGGUAGCGAAAUUCCUUGUCAGGUAAGUUCUGACCCGCACGAAAGGUGUAACGAUUUGAGCACUGUCUCGACAACACGCCCGGUGAAAUUGAAGAACCAGUGAAGAUACUGGUUACCCGCAACAGGACGGAAAGACCCCAUGGAGCUUUACUGCAGCUUAAUAUUGGGAUUCGGUAUUACAUGUACAGGAUAGGAGGGAGACUAGGAAGCCAGUACGCCAGUAUUGGUGGAGUCGAUGUUGGGAUACCUCUCUUGUAGUAUUGGAUUUCUAACCUGCUCCCAUGAACUGGGAGAGGGACAUUGUUAGGCGGGCAGUUUGACUGGGGCGGUCGCCUCCGAAAGAGUAACGGAGGCGCUCAAAGGUCUUCUCAGAAUGAUUGGAAACCAUUCAAAGAGUGUAAAGGCAGAAGAAGGCUUGACUGCGAGAGCGACGGUUCGAGCAGGUACGAAAGUAGGACUUAGUGAUCCGGUGGUAACAAGUGGGAGUGCCAUCGCUUAACGGAUAAAAGCUACCCUGGGGAUAACAGGCUUAUCUCCCCCAAGAGUUCACAUCGACGGGGAGGUUUGGCACCUCGAUGUCGGCUCAUCGCAUCCUGGGGCUGAAGUAGGUCCCAAGGGUUGGGCUGUUCGCCCAUUAAAGCGGUACGCGAGCUGGGUUCAGAACGUCGUGAGACAGUUCGGUCCCUAUCCGUUGUGGGCGUAGGAAAUUUGAGAGGAGCUGUCCUUAGUACGAGAGGACCGGGAUGGACGAACCGCUGGUGUAUCUGUUGGUAACCAAUGCCAUGGCAGAGUAGCCAAGUUUGGAAAGGAUAAACGCUGAAGGCAUCUAAGCGUGAAGCCAACCUCAAGACUAGAUUUCCAUGCUCUAGUAGCAGUAAGACCCCUUGAAGACGACAAGGUUGAUAGGCCUAAGGUGUAAGUGCGGUAACGUAUUAAGCUGAUAGGUACUAAAGGUCGAGUGCUUGUCCAA